rnacentral:misc_RNA from 1 species
GAUGAAGAACGUAGCGAAAUACGAUAAGUAGUGUGAAUUGCAGAAUUCAGUGAAUCAUCGAAUCUUUGAACGCACAUUGCGCCCCUUGGUAUUCCAUGGGGCAUGCCUGUUCGAGCGUCAUUUGUACCUUCAAGCUUUGCUUGGUGUUGGGUGUUUGUCUCGCCUUUGCGUGUAGACUCGCCUUAAAAUAAUUGGCAGCCGGCGUAUUGAUUUCGGAGCGCAGUACAUCUCGCGCUUUGCAAUCAUAACGACAGCGUCCAAAAGUACAUUUUACACUCUUGACCUCGGAUCAGGUAGGGAUACCCGCUGAACUUAAGCAUAUCAAUAAGCGGAGGA